GCUGGGUGAAUGGGUAUGAGAAGAAAUGCUGGAGAUGCUUGUUUUGGAACGUGAGGGCUCAGGUGAAGAAGGUCAGAAAGAGCGGCAGGGAGAGAAGGCUGAUGUUUCUCUCUUUCUCUCUCUCUCUCCUCUCUACAUCCCGUCCCCAAACCUGGAAUUUGAUCGCUGAGAAGCUAGAAAGGAGAUCAGGGAAAAAUUGUGGAUUGAGACGGUUUAAUUAGUUGGAUCCAAGGUCCAAUCGCAGAGAUUUUAGUUAAGAAGAGGAGGAGAGAUUAAUGGUGACUCAUAUAAAGUUAAAAAAAAAGAAGAUUAAUGGCAGCUCAUAGAUUGUAUGGCAAUAUAGCUUUCUGAAGUUUCUUCCAUCUCUUCUCUCACUGCUGUAGAUGUCGUAGUCCUUACCGGAUGCGUGCUUGAUCCAUCAGGUCAUCCAUGGAAUCCAACUUUGGAGCAUUAUACUGGAUAUAAGGCAUUGAAUUUGAAAGCAUGGUUUCCACAUUACAUGAUCCUCAAAUUAAUCAUAAUGGCUGCACUCUCAAUGCUAUCAAAGAGAAGUAUCUGCAGACCAAGUUUUAGUGCGCAGCCAAUCUUCCUUCGCCGGAACUACUUCGAAGAGGGAUUUUACCUGAGUUGUAGGCAAGUGGACAUACCGGAGUGUUUCCCAAAGACUUGUCGGGUAUUUCGAUCUCUAGACUGGGGUUUGAAUUUUGUAAAGUAAAAAUCUUGUGUAUGAUAUUUAGAACACCCGAUAACAAACAUAAAACUUAAAGAGUUGUCUAC